rnacentral:SRP_RNA from 1 species
GCCGGGUGUGGUGAUGCACACCUGUAAUCCCAGCUACUCGGGAGGCCGAGGCAGGAGAAUUGCUUGAACCCAGGAGGCAGAGGUUGCAGUGAGCCAAGAUUGUGCCACUGUACUCCAUCCUGGGUGACAGAGCAAAACUCCGUCUCAA